rnacentral:rRNA from 1 species
UACGAAGGGGGCUAGCGUUGCUCGGAAUUACUGGGCGUAGAGGGAGCGUAGGCGGAUAGUUUAGUCAGAGGUGAAAGCCCAGGGCUCAACCUUGGAAUUGCCUUUGAUACUGGCUAUCUUGAGUAUGGAGGAGGUAUGUGGAACUCCGAGUGUUGAGGUGAAAUUCGUAGAUAUUCGGAAGAACACCAGUGGCGAAGGCGACAUACUGGUCCAUUACUGACGCUGAGGCUCGAAAGCGUGGGGAGCAAAC